rnacentral:rRNA from 1 species
ACGAACGCUGGCGGCGUGCUUAACCCAUGCCAGUCGAACGGAAAGGCCCUUCUUUUGUGGGGUGCUCGAGUGGCGAACGGGUGAGUAACACGUGAGUAACCUGCCCUUGACUUUGGGAUAACUUCAGGAAACUGGGGCUAAUACCGGAUAGGAGCUCCUGCUGCAUGGUGGGGGUUGGAAAGUUUCGGCGGUUGGGGAUGGACUCGCGGCUUAUCAGCUUGUUGGUGGGGUAGUGGCUUACCAAGGCUUUGACGGGUAGCCGGCCUGAGAGGGUGACCGGCCACAUUGGGACUGAGAUACGGCCCAGACUCCUACGGGAGGCAGCAGUGGGGAAUAUUGCACAAUGGGCGGAAGCCUGAUGCAGCAACGCCGCGUGCGGGAUGACGGCCUUCGGGUUGUAAACCGCUUUCGCCUGUGACGAAGCGUGAGUGACGGUAAUGGGUAAAGAAGCACCGGCUAACUACGUG